CGCGCGCGCGACAGUGCAGCAACAUUGGGCGGUGAAGCCGCUCUCGGUCGCCAUUUCCGUUUCUGCCGCCGCUCGUGUGUUUGGAUGUGCGUUCGUGGAAGGUUCAGAAGCCGAAGAGCGCGGAAGCUAUUGCGCCCAGCGUGGUAAACGCCCCUGGUUUCAUUCCUUCACUUGCGGCCGACUGCAAGCCUUCAACCAUGAACUACGGCCGGGCACCGCCGCAGAUCGACGGCAUGACGUCGCUCAAAGUGGACAACCUCACUUACCGCACCACGCCGGAGGACCUGAAGCGGGUCUUCGAGAAGUACGGGGACGUCGGCGACGUCUACAUACCGCGGCAUCCGUACACGCGAGAAAGCCGUGGCUUCGCCUUUGUGCGAUUCUACGACAAGCGCGACUGCGAGGACGCCAUGGACUCGCUGGACGGAUACGUCCUGGACGGCCGCGAACUGCGCGUCCAAAUGGCGCGCUACGGGAGGCCGUCGGACCCGUACCGCCAGUCGUCCUCGCGAAAUGCCAGACAGAGCCGCCGUUCCCGUUCUAGGUCGAGGAGCCGUGGACGUCGAUCGAGGAGCCGGCGCCGUUCAGCGUCUAGAAGCCGUAGGCGUUCCAGGAGCCGGUCCCGGCAUCGCCGAUCAAGCUCCCGGUCUCGCAGGUCAAGGAGUCGGUCAAGGGAGCGUAAACGCUCCCGCAGCCGCUCUCGCAGGAGCCGAAGCCGGUCCCGGGAUCGUCGCAAGAGUCGCAGCAAGUCAAGGGAGAGGAGCCGCUCACGUAACCGCGAGGCUAAAAGGAGCCGUUCCAAGUCGAGAAACAGAAGCCACUCAAAAUCUAGAGAACGCAGUCGUUCUAAGGAGCACGGCGGAUCAAAGUCCAAGCGGCGCAGCCGCUCAAAAUCGAAGGGCCGUCGCAGCCGUUCCAGGUCAAACGACCGUAGCCGAUCCAAGUCUAAGGAAAGGAGCCGAUCCAAGACCAAGGAGUAUCGCUCUAAGUCCGAUGAGCGUGGUCACAGCAAGGAUCGCAGCCGAUCCAAGUCCAAGGAGAGGGGUGAGAGCAAGCGCAAGAGCCGAUCCACAUCCGCUGAUCGCGGCCAACGACAGAGUCGUUCCAAGUCCAAAGAGCGCAGCCGCUCCAAUUCCAGGGACCGCAGUCGUAGCCGCAGCCGGAGCCAUCAAGACGGCAACCAGCGGGACCGCAGCAGCCGCAGUCGAUCCCGCAACGGAGAUGCCCACAGCCCAUCGCAGAGCCCCCGAAAGAUGGCAGAGGAUAGGGCGGAUUCGAGGUCAAGGUCGCGCAGUCCAGGAGUAAAGCACAGUUCACCGCCUCCUGAUGCAGCAGAGUCCAACGGUGAUCGUGAGAUGCGUUCGCCUGAGCGAGACCGCCGCUCACGGUCCAAAUCGCAGGACUCCGACUGAGACAUGUACUGCUUGAGCAGCGAAGCCUGGUUGUUCGAGGCAAGAGAUCGAGAAGGCCGAGCGAGCGGUUUGGGGGUCGGAAAGGGCGUUGGCGAUCCGGGCGAUUUCGGGCUCCUCGUGGAGGCAGUUUGCAGCCGGAGCAGUGGCAUGCUGUUUGGUGUGGUUCCGGCGUGUUGCUGAUUUGCAGCCUGUGCGAGAGAGAAAACGAAAAAAAUGCCGGCGCUGGGGCAUCUUCCUUCCUGAGGCGUGCGUGUCGUGUAGCGGCCCCGGCCGUAGUUCCGGCUGGCGUUCCAGCUUUGGCUCGUGCGAUACAGCGGUCCUGGCAUGCUUGCUGAACCUGUGGUGCCGAGUUCCGCGUGGUGGGGGCGUUUGCUGAAGGAGCUGUGUGGUUUGGUUCCACAGCUUUUUUUUUUUUUCUCUCUUCAUUUCUCCCUCUAGGUGCGGCAUCCCUGAAGACCAAAAGAAGCAUUUGAACAAGCAUUUGCACAGAGUAGAGUAUGCAGAAUGACUUGGCCUUUUUUUUUUUCUUUUGUCUGGCAUUCUUCACAAGUCUUGGCUCGAGCCAAGACAUGAAGUGCUACGAGCACUUCGCUUGUACAAGGGUAUGCCUGGAGUUACGGCAUUAAACGAAAAUGUUAAUUGUUCAGCUGCAUCUCAGAAUAAUGUGUUGACAUUGUUGCUGAGACAGGUCACAAUAUUGUUGUCACUUUGUGGGAAAUAUCUUAUCCGCAGGCAUCUCCUGCAGUGAUGCACAUUGUUUGAGGCUGGUAAACGGGAGCUCGAAUUUGAUUGCAUGUUGGCUUCAGAACUGCAGCACAGAUUUCGAACAGUUGACAAAAAGGAGAUGCAAAAGGCCUGGUAUAGUAAGUUUUAAAAAAUCAUUCCAUUGUAUACUCCGUUUAUAACCACCGUCUCAAAAAAUUAUUCAUUGUGCCUUUGAUAGCACGAAACUUAUUUGACUUACUGAUUGGUGCUUUUUUUUUUUUUAAAUUAUCUCUAACACUGACUGUACAGCAGGCCUCUGUUAUCUGCAUGCUCUGCUCUUGCGAGAAUUGAAUAAAUGUGUUCAUCCUUCAAA
rnacentral:misc_RNA from 1 species